GAUGAACGCUGGCGGCGUGCUUAACACAUGCAAGUCGAACGGAAAGGCUCCUGCUUGCAGGGGUACUCGAGUGGCGAACGGGUGAGUAACACGUGGGUGAUCUGCCCUGCACUUCGGGAUAAGCCUGGGAAACUGGGUCUAAUACCGGAUAGGACGAUGGUUUGGAUGCCAUUGUGGAAAGUUUUUCGGUGUGGGAUGAGCUCGCGGCCUAUCAGCUUGUUGGUGGGGUAAUGGCCUACCAAGGCGUCGACGGGUAGCCGGCCUGAGAGGGUGUACGGCCACAUUGGGACUGGAAAACGGCCCAGACUCCUACGGGGGGCAGCGGUGGGGAAUAUUGCCAAAGGGGCGAAAGCCUGAUGCAGGGACGCCGGGGGGGGGAUGACGGCCUUCGGGUUGUAAACUCCUUUCGCUGGGGACGAAGCGUUUUGGGACGGUACCUGGAGAAGAAGCACCGGUUAACUACGG
rnacentral:rRNA from 1 species